rnacentral:ncRNA from 2 species
CUUCGGCAAGAUCGCGCUGGUGCCCCGCAAGGGGCUUAAUAGGGAACACGGUGAGGACUUCUUGUCCGAAUCCGAGGCUGUCCCUGCAACUGUAAGCGGCGAGCGCGAUGCACAUGUGCGGCGGGACAAGGUUCCACGCCGCCAGCCACUGGGCCGGACGCUAAGUCAUGCGAGGCCUGGGAAGGCCGUGCAUCGACGCAUUGACCCGUGAGCCAGGAGACCUGCCCGCGCAUGGUCGCUCUU